UUUGUACCAAAGUUUAAUUUUGAAGGUGAGACAUAGCUAAAAUUUACUAUGUUUUUGUUAUCAUCAAUUCCAAAAUCUUCUAAAACAACCACAAUCAAAGCAUUGUAGUUGAUAUCUUCAUGAAUCAUACUAAGAGAGGAUUCUCGUUCAUCAUCCACUAUGAAAUCCUAGUGAAUUCCAUUUAUUAGUUUUCAUUCUCCA
rnacentral:lncRNA from 1 species